GGGAUUGUAGCUCAGUGGUAGAGCAUUUGCCUAGCAUGUAUGAAGCCCUGGGUUUGAAUCUUAGCAUCACA
rnacentral:tRNA from 1 species